rnacentral:rRNA from 1 species
UUAAAUUGAAGAGUUUGAUCAUGGCUCAGAUUGAACGCUGGCGGCAGGCCUAACACAUGCAAGUCGAACGGUAACAGGAAGCAGCUUGCUGCUUUGCUGACGAGUGGCGGACGGGUGAGUAAUGUCUGGGAAACUGCCUGAUGGAGGGGGAUAACUACUGGAAACGGUAGCUAAUACCGCAUAACGUCGCAAGACCAAAGAGGGGGACCUUCGGGCCUCUUGCCAUCGGAUGUGCCCAGAUGGGAUUAGCUUGUUGGUGGGGUAACGGCUCACCAAGGCGACGAUCCCUAGCUGGUCUGAGAGGAUGACCAGCCACACUGGAACUGAGACACGGUCCAGACUCCUACGGGAGGCAGCAGUGGGGAAUAUUGCACAAUGGGCGCAAGCCUGAUGCAGCCAUGCCGCGUGUAUGAAGAAGGCCUUCGGGUUGUAAAGUACUUUCAGCGGGGAGGAAGGGAGUAAAGUUAAUACCUUUGCUCAUUGACGUUACCCGCAGAAGAAGCACCGGCUAACUCCGUGCCAGCAGCCGCGGUAAUACGGAGGGUGCAAGCGUUAAUCGGAAUUACUGGGCGUAAAGCGCACGCAGGCGGUUUGUUAAGUCAGAUGUGAAAUCCCCGGGCUCAACCUGGGAACUGCAUCUGAUACUGGCAAGCUUGAGUCUCGUAGAGGGGGGUAGAAUUCCAGGUGUAGCGGUGAAAUGCGUAGAGAUCUGGAGGAAUACCGGUGGCGAAGGCGGCCCCCUGGACGAAGACUGACGCUCAGGUGCGAAAGCGUGGGGAGCAAACAGGAUUAGAUACCCUGGUAGUCCACGCCGUAAACGAUGUCGACUUGGAGGUUGUGCCCUUGAGGCGUGGCUUCCGGAGCUAACGCGUUAAGUCGACCGCCUGGGGAGUACGGCCGCAAGGUUAAAACUCAAAUGAAUUGACGGGGGCCCGCACAAGCGGUGGAGCAUGUGGUUUAAUUCGAUGCAACGCGAAGAACCUUACCUGGUCUUGACAUCCACAGAACUUUCCAGAGAUGGAUUGGUGCCUUCGGGAACUGUGAGACAGGUGCUGCAUGGCUGUCGUCAGCUCGUGUUGUGAAAUGUUGGGUUAAGUCCCGCAACGAGCGCAACCCUUAUCCUUUGUUGCCAGCGGUCCGGCCGGGAACUCAAAGGAGACUGCCAGUGAUAAACUGGAGGAAGGUGGGGAUGACGUCAAGUCAUCAUGGCCCUUACGACCAGGGCUACACACGUGCUACAAUGGCGCAUACAAAGAGAAGCGACCUCGCGAGAGCAAGCGGACCUCAUAAAGUGCGUCGUAGUCCGGAUUGGAGUCUGCAACUCGACUCCAUGAAGUCGGAAUCGCUAGUAAUCGUGGAUCAGAAUGCCACGGUGAAUACGUUCCCGGGCCUUGUACACACCGCCCGUCACACCAUGGGAGUGGGUUGCAAAAGAAGUAGGUAGCUUAACCUUCGGGAGGGCGCUUACCACUUUGUGAUUCAUGACUGGGGUGAAGUCGUAACAAGGUAACCGUAGGGGAACCUGCGGUUGGAUCACCUCCUUACCUUAAAGAAGC